GAUGAACGCUGGCGGCGUGCCUAAUACAUGCAAGUCGAGCGAACAGACGAGGAGCUUGCUCCUCUGACGUUAGCGGCGGACGGGUGAGUAACACGUAGAUAACCUACCUAUAAGACUGGGAUAACUUCGGGAAACCGGAGCUAAUACCGGAUAAUAUAUUGAACCGCAUGGUUCAAUAGUGAAAGACGGUUUUGCUGUCACUUAUAGAUGGAUCCGCGCUGCAUUAGCUAGUUGGUAAGGUAACGGCUUACCAAGGCGACGAUGCGUAGCCGACCUGAGAGGGUGAUCGGCCACACUGGAACUGAGACACGGUCCAGACUCCUACGGGAGGCAGCAGUAGGGAAUCUUCCGCAAAGGGCGAAAGCCUGACGGAGCAACGCCGCGUGAGUGAUGAAGGUCUUCGGAUCGUAAAACUCUGUUAUUAGGGAAGAACAAAUGUGUAAGUAACUAUGCACGUCUUGACGGUACCUAAUCAGAAAGCCACGGCUAACUACGUG
rnacentral:rRNA from 1 species